rnacentral:rRNA from 1 species
AGUGAACGCUGGCGGCAGGCCUAACACAUGCAAGUCGAGCGGCAGCGCGGGGGCAACCCUGGCGGCGAGCGGCGGACGGGUGAGGAAUGCGUCGGAAUCUGCCUCUUUGUGGGGAAUAACGUAGGGAAACUUACGCUAAUACCGCAUACGACCUACGGGUGAAAGUGGGGGACCUUCGGGCCUCACGCAGAGAGAUGAGCCGACGCCGGAUUAGCUAGUUGGCGGGGUAAAGGCCCACCAAGGCGACGAUCCGUAGCUGGUCUGAGAGGAUGAUCAGCCACACUGGAACUGAGACACGGUCCAGACUCCUACGGGAGGCAGCAGUGGGGAAUAUUGGACAAUGGGCGCAAGCCUGAUCCAGCCAUGCCGCGUGUGUGAAGAAGGCCUUCGGGUUGUAAAGCACUUUUGUCCGGAAAGAAAAGCAUUCGGUUAAUAACCGGGUGUCAUGACGGUACCGGAAGAAUAAGCACCGGCUAACUUCGUGCCAGCCGCCGCAGUAAGAC